CUCCCAACACCUGUUGCUUCGGCGGGCCCACCGGGGCCACCCGGUCGCCGGGGGACAUCCGUCCCCGGGCCCGCGCCCGCCGAGGCGCUCUGUGAACCCUGAUGAAGAUGGGCUGUCUGAGUGAUAUGAAAAUUGUCAAAACUUUCAACAAUGGAUCUCUUGGUUCCGGCAUCGAUGAAGAACGCAGCGAAAUGCGAUAAGUAAUGUGAAUUGCAAAAUUCCGUGAAUCAUCGAAUCUUUGAACGCACAUUGCGCCCCCUGGCAUUCCGGGGGGCAUGCCUGUCCGAGCGUCAUUUCUGCCCUCAAGCACGGCUUGUGUGUUGGGUGUGGUCCCCCUGGGGACCUGCCCGAAAGGCAGCGGCGACGUCCGUCUGGUCCUCGAGCGUAUGGGGCUCUGUCACUCGCUCGGGAAGGACCUGCCGGGGGGGGUUGGUCACCACCACAUCUUUUUACGAGGUUGACCUCGGAUCAGGUAGGAGU
rnacentral:rRNA from 1 species